rnacentral:rRNA from 1 species
GGGCUUUCGAGCUUGACGGGUUGUCUGCUGGCUCGCAGGGCAUGUGCACGCCUGUCUCAUCCACUCUCAACUUCUGUGCACUUUUCAUAGGCCGGCUUGUGGGUGCGUUCGCGCACUUGUAGGUGUCGGGCUUAUGCUUUAUUACAAACGAUUCAGUUUUAGAAUGUCAUACUUUGCUAUAACGCAAUUUAUAUACAACUUUCAGCAACGGAUCUCUUGGCUCUCGCAUCGAUGAAGAACGCAGCGAAAUGCGAUAAGUAAUGUGAAUUGCAGAAUUCAGUGAAUCAUCGAAUCUUUGAACGCACCUUGCGCUCCUUGGUAUUCCGAGGAGCAUGCCUGUUUGAGUCUCAUGGAAUUCUCAACCUUCGGCUUCAUUGACGAAGGCUUGGACUUGGAGGUCGUGCCGGCUCUCGUAGUCGGCUCCUCUGAAAUGCAUUAGUGCGAACGUUACCGACCGCUUCAGCGUGAUAAUUAUCUGCGUUGCUGUGGAGGGUAUUCUAGUGUUCACGCUUCUAACCGUCUUCGGACAAAUUUCUGAACUCUGAGCUCAAAUCAGGUAGGACUACCCGCUGAACUUAAGCAUAUCAUAGGCGG